rnacentral:rRNA from 1 species
CCUACGGGAGGCAGCAGUGGGGAAUAUUGCGCAAUGGGCGAAAGCCUGACGCAGCGACGCCGCGUGAGGGAUGAAGGUCUUCGGAUCGUAAACCUCUGUCCGCAGGGAAGAACGGUCACUGUGCUAAUCAGCAGUGAAUUGACGGUACCUGCAAAGGAAGCACCGGCAAAAUCCGUGCCAGCAGCCGCGGUACUACGGGGGGUGCGAGCGUUAAUCGGAAUUACUGGGCGAAAAGCGCUCGUAGGCGGUAUGUCAAGUCAAGGGUGAAAUCCCCGCGCGCAACGUGGGAACUGCCUUUGAAACGGGCAAACUGGAGUGUGUGAGAGGAUAGGGGAAUUCCAGGUGUAGGAGUGAAAGCCGUAGAUAUCUGGAGGAACAUCAGUGGCGAAGGCGACUAUCUGGCACAUAACUGACGCUGAGGGGCGAAAGCGUGGGUAGCAAACAGGAUUAGAUACCCGAGUAUC